CCCAAGGGCUUUGGAACUGGGGGAUUGGGACACGUGACUUCCCUGGCCAUUCACCUUGAAGUGGACACGGGCUGGGGUGAGAGAGGGGAAACUGCCCCAUCUUCUCAUCUUAGAACCAUGCAGUGUUAAUGCUGGAAGGGACCUUGGAGUCGAUUACAACCCCGUGAACUGGGCCAGGGAAGGAAGUGCCUUGCCCAAGGUCAUGAGAAGGGGUUUCAGCAUGUUGCCAAAGCUGAUCUCAAAAUCCUGGGCUUCUGUCGGGAAUUGGUGGGUUCUUGGUCUCACUGACUUCAAGGAAGCCAUAGACCCUCAUAGUGAGCGUUACAGCUCUUAAGGUGGUGCACCUGGAGUUUCUUCCUCUUGGGGGGCUUGUGGUCUCGCUGGCUUCAGGAGUGAAGCUGCAAACCUUCACCAUUAGUGUUACAACUCUUAAAGCAGCGCGUCUGGAGUUGUUCGUUCCUCCCGCGGGGGCUCGUGGUCUCGCUGGCUUCAGGAGCAAAGCCGCAAACUUUCGUGGUGAGCGUUACAGCUCAUAAAAGCAGUGUGAACCCAAAGAGUGAGCAGUAACAAGAUUUAUCACAAACAACAAAAGAACAGAGCUUCCACAAUGUGGAUAAAGACCCAAGCCGGUUGCCAUUGCUAGUUGAGGGGGGGGGGGCGGGCAGCCUGCUUUUAUUCUCUUAUCUGGCCCCACCCACAUCCUGCUGAUUGGUAGAACCAAGUGGUCUGUUUUGACAGGGCGCUGCUUGGUGCGUUUACAAUC
rnacentral:lncRNA from 1 species